AAAUAAUGUAAAGUUGGCUAUUGAUAGUCCUUUUAGCAUAAUCACGCUGCUUUCAUCCUUGAGAGGGAUAUUGGUAACAUAUUCUUUUAUGUCAUGAAAUUGUUAGGAGCUUUGAUAAGUAGAAUCAUCCUCCCUCUAUCCUCCUCAAGUUGCACAUCCAUAAAGCAUUUGAUUCUAUUAGGUGGGAUUAAAUUAUUCAAAUUCUUGUGAAGAUGGACUUCGCUUCUAAUUUUAUCAAUUUUAUUCAUUGCUAUAUCUUUUCUCCUUUUUUCUCUGUCUAAUGGCUCCCCUCAGGGUUUCUUUUCCUAAAAAAAUGGGAUUCGCCAAGGUUGCUAUGUCUCUCCUCUCUUAUUCUCUCUAGCCAUAGAGGGUCUAUCUAGAAUCCUAAUCAAUAAAAUUGAGAAUAAUUCCAUCCAACCUAUUCCUAAAUGCAAAAAUCUGAAGAUCACUCAUUUAUCUUUUGGAAAUGACCUUAUGAAUUUUGCCAAGGUAAACCUUCAAUCGCUGACUUCCAUAUUUGAUGCUUUAUCAUUUUUUAUUCUGUAUCGAGUCUUUCCAUUGAACCCCAAAAAUUUCUCUUUCUUUAGAGGGGUUCCUUGUGGUAUUAAGGCUCAAUUAGUUAAUAUUUUGGUCAUCCUUGAGAUCCACUUGUGUAUCACUUAUUUGGGUCCCCAUUUGAUUUCUUCCAAGAUAUCUGCUCAUCAUUGCUCUCCCAUUAUUGAUAGGCUUUACAAGAGGCUUCAACUUUGGAAGAGUAACUUCUUUCUUUUACAAGUCACCCCGAACUCAUCAAAUUAGUCAUACAAAGCUCCUAAAUUGAAUCUGGGUUUUUGGGUUUCCCUCUUCUAUCUCUUCUAAGAUUGAAUCUCUUAUGUAUUCCUUCCUUUUGGAGGGUGGGGAUAAAGGAGGCUAAAAUUGUUGGGAUUCUCAAACUCAUUUGGAAGAUUGGUUCUGGAAGCAAGAUCAUUUGGGUUGAUUGUUUGUAUUCCAACCCCUAUUCCUACAAAUGCUUCUUGGGCUUGAAAUAAGAUUCUUAAGUAUCAAUUCCUUGUUUCCGAUACUAUCUAGUCUUCAAUUGGUGGUUCCAUUAGAACCGUGGUUUGGGUUGAUAAUUGGCAUCCUAAUGAUGAGUUAAUCCUAAAAUAUGGUGAUAGCAUUAGUUAUCUCUUCCAUUUUAAGAGAUGAACAGGGGAUCCCAGACCCAAGAAACUCAAAUUCUCUUAUUAAGGUUUGGGAUAUGCUUCUAAGGGUGCGCUUGAGAUCUAGAGGUAGUGGGGAUAUUAUUCAGUAAGUAGCUAAUUCAUCAAGAAAGUUCUCUUCCUUUUAUUUUUUAAAUUUGCUAAGAUCGAGUGCUCCUUUUGUUCCUUAGUUUAGACUAGUUUGGUCUAGCUAUUCUAUUCCUAGGCAUUGUUUUAUGAUUUUGAGGGUUAUUACUAAUUAUCUACCUAAGAGUUUAUUUCUCGAGGAAAUAUUUCAAUUUCUAAUUGUUGCAUUUGUCGGAAUUCAAUUCAAUAUGUCUAUCAUUUGUUCUUUGAUUGUCCUUUUAGAAAUUCAGUAUGGAAAGGUAUUCUUAGGAAAUUCUAGUUUACUCCCAGAUUCAACGACAAAUCAACAUGUGAUAUCUUUAGUAAGUUAGCAUUAGAGUAGUGAUUCAUCAUAUCUGGUGGGAAAGGAAUAAAAGAAGAUUGUAUAUUCAUCCUGCACUAUUGAUCAUAUUUCAGACAUCAUCUCAUUUGACAUUCAAAAUAACAUUCAUCAUAAAUGUGUGGUAAGCCCUAACUAAAGCAGAAAUUGGUAUAUGGACCAAUCUUGGAAAAUUUUGCUCAAUGUCCCCCCUUAGUUUUGAAUUAUCAUCUUCAUGUUUUCUCUCACCCCCCCCCCCUCCCUCCGGGUUUUAGUGUAUCCCCCACCUAGAUUAUUUUCUUCCCUACCCUCUCUUGGUCUUGUUGUCAAACCCUCCUAUUGGUAUUUUAUAAGGCUUGAGUUAGGGAAUCUUCUCUUAGUUUACCCUCCUAUUGGUGUUUUAUAGGGCUUGAGUUGGCGAAUCUUCUCUUGGUUUCCACUUUCGCUUGUAGGAUCUCUUAUUUUCUUUUACCCCUUUUAAUAUGAUAUAUUCACAAAAAAAAAAAAAAAAAAAAAAAAACCAAUAUUUAAUUUUCAUUGAAUGUGUGGUGUACAUCAUGUGUAUCCUUUUCUAAUGUUGUUAAAAAUGAACUUAUAGUAGAACUGAUCCUCUAGUACCAAUCUAAUAGAUAUAUUAAUUUGUAAUUGGUUCAGGAACUACUAAGUUUUCUUUAUCACUAAUGUAGAAGAUCCUUUUACUUUCAUUUAUUUGGUAGUUUGUAUUUACAUACCAUUAUUUUUUGUAUUUAAUAUUAUCAUUAUUAUCAUAUCACUUACAUUAUCGAAGCUAUUCCAUUUUACUGCAGCAAGUUCUCAAAAUGCAAAAUUCUUUGUUUCUGUAGAAGAAAAAGAUGGAACUAAAGGCCAGAUCAUAAAUAAAAUCAUAGAAUCAAAAGGCACAAUAAAGAAGCGUUUCCAUCAGAUCAAUGAUUUACCAGAUUGCACCAUAUUCUUCACAGAGAAGCUUUCAAAAUAGCGAAAAAAAAAUUGGGCUUAAAACAUUCCUCCUGCUGGAUCAACGCCUGACAACAAUAAGAAUGGAAACAAGCUUAGCGGCUCCAAUGGUGAUGAUGUUGGCGAUGAACCUGUUGCCGGAGCUGUGGUGGCAGCAGAGAGGGUAGUGGCUCCGUUGAUGAUGAGGAUGAAGAUGUUGAACCUGAUGCCAGAGCAGUAGUGGCAGCAGAGGUGAACCCUAGCAAGGCUGGUAGUGGCUCCGAUGAUGAUAAGGAUGAUAGGGAUGAGCAUGUUGCCGAAACAGUUAGCAGCACCGAGGAUGACGACAAUUAUUAUUAUGGUGAUGAGCUUGAUGCCGAAGCAAUGGUGGCACCAGAGGUGAACCCUAGCGAAGCUGGUAGCGGCUCCUAUGAUAAUGAUGAUUAAAAUGGUAAUGAGCCUGAUGCCAAAGCAGUGGUGGCACCAAAUUAAGGUGAGCCCAAGCAAGGCUGAGUUAGUGCUGCUGAUGGUGAGGGUAGUGAGUAUACUGACUCAUCUACUGACGGGAGUGAUGGCGAUGACAUCCCUGUGAUCUAGAUGAAGACGAAGACGAAGAGGGAGAUUAGGCCAUAUUUUCUAUUUUAUUCCCCAGCCCCUUUGUUCCAGUUCUUUUCAGAUAUUAGUUAUCUUUAUAUUUUUUUGAUGAUAAUUUUCAGAACUCCAAACCUUAGAA